rnacentral:rRNA from 1 species
GCCCAACCGUAACACACAAUUAAAUUACCAAUUGUUCGCCAAACAACUACGAGUCCCACUUAAAACUUAAAAGACUUGACGGUACUCCACCACGCCCUAGAGGAGCCUGUCUAACAACCGACAAUCCACGAUUAACCCAACCCCCUCUUGCCCAACAGUCUAUAUACCGCCGUCGCCAGCUUACCUUGUAAAAGAAAAAAAGUAAGCCAAAUAGCAUCACUAACACGACAGGUCGAGGUGUAACUUAUGGGGGGGGCUAAGAUGGGCUACAUUCUCAACCGAGCAUACGGAAAACACCAUGAAAGUGGUCUUCAAAGGCGGAUUUAGCAGUAAGACAGGAAUAGAAUACCUGACUGAACACAACGCAAUGAAUUUUUUACACACCGCCCGUCAUCCCUGCCACCAC